CCAGGGGCUCAUCCCUGCCUGCUGCUCCCGUUCCAGGGGAACAUCGUGGUGCUGGUUCACAGCAACGAGGAUUCAGAAGACGAGGAGAAUGAACUGCUUGUGAACUCCCUGUGUCAUCACAGCGACCUCAUCCUGUGGGCAGAGGGGCUGGCCACCGGCUUCUGCAAGGAUGUUCACGGGCAGAUUAAGAUAAGCAAGAGAUUGUCCUUGCGGCAGGCGGGGGAGCAGGACCUGGUCCAGAUCUACCAGUACAAGAUCCAGGACAGGAACGUCACCUUUUUCGCACGGGGGCUGUCAGCUGCGGUCCUGUGACACUGAGGCCCUGUGGCACUGCCAUCCUGUGGCACUGCCAUCCUGUGGCACUGCGGUCCUGUGACAAUGCCAUCCUGUGACAAUGCCAUCCUGUGACAAUGCCAUCCUGUGACACUGUGGCAGCUCAGAGCCCGGGAAUGGCAGUCCCUGCCUCUGCAGAGCACCAGCAGCACCUCUCAGCAGCAGCACAGCAAACUGACCCGGCUGGGAAGCUCACACUCACCUGGAGCGGUGCCAAGGUGGGAUCAGCCUGCCUGGAGCCUGCUGCAUCCCUUUGUCCUCCCACCCCGUUCCCAACACACUCAGGCCAAGAACGGGAGCAAGAACUUGCAGGAAUGGCCCUUAGAGCGUGUAAAUACAGGCGGGAGGUGCCCCGCGGGCUGGGCGUUCCCGGCCUCACCUUUUCCGCUGUGUUGGGCACGGCAGUGCCAGGCGCUGCACGCCUGGGGAGCGGGGAGAUGACACACAGCGGGUGGAGCAGGGAGCCUGGCGCAAUCCUGGCCCUGCUCCCAGCUCUGGCUGGCAGAGAUUGGCCAGCUGCCAGCAGUUGGUAAAUGCAUGGCUCCGUGUACAGCCCCUGGCCUGGCUGUGCUGAGAGCUGGGCGCUGCCCUGGUUCAUCCCCUCAGGCUGCCCGAGCUCAUCCUGGCCUUUGUGCUUGGGUAAACCCCUCUGGGAGCCCGUCUCAGCCACUGCUUCCUCACCCCAAACCCUGACCAGCAGCUACAUGACCUGCCUGUGCUGAAGCGUUUUUUUAAAAUAAUAAUCUGUAAUUUUAGCGAGAUAAGGGUACUGUGAUUAAGUAACUGCAGAUCUCGGGGUGGGAACUGCUCCCUGCCUGCUCCUUGGCAGGGAUCAGGAAUGGGCAUCUCCCAAGCCUGGAGGAGGAGAGCCCUUCCUCAUGGCUGUCCUGGGAGCAGGGAUUUCCAGGUCUCCUGGUCCACGCUCCUGCUGGGAUAUCCCAUUUAUCCUGGGAGAUAAAAACAUCCCAUGUGCUUGUGAGAGUCCAGAGCAACCUGCCAGGUCCUUGCAGCUCCAGAGCUGGGAUAGCAGCCCUGGCAGUGGCACACAUUCCUGAUGCUCCGUGUAGGCUCAGUGACCACCCCGUGCUGGUCUGGGGACAUUCCUUUGAGUCAGAGUUUUGGGAGCCCUGGCAUGCUCAGGGCUGUGGCUGCUGAUCAGUGGCAGCCCAGGGAAGCCAGGCAGGCUCCAGGGGUUGUGGAGGGACUCAGGCCAUGGGUGUGCUACAGGACCACUCAUCCCUGGUGUCCCCUGGGUGGAAGUGGCAGUGCCCAGUGGCAGUGCUGCUGUCCCAGGGGUGGUGGCAGUGCCCAGGGGUCAGUGCACUGUCACAGAGUGCAAAGGGAGGAUGAGAGGACUGGGAGCUGCUGGCACUGCAGCUGUGACGGGCACAGAGUGGUGUAUAAUUGGAGUAAUAUCUGUGUGAUUGUCCUUGGAGACAUCCCAAAGCCUGGCUCCUGGGCUCUGCCUCCCUCUCUGGGAACAGGCGGGG